ACCCUCCUCUGCUUCGGGCCCUCCCUGUGCCGGCCGCCCUUGCCUUCACGCAACUGUGCCUAAGGACAUGAUUCGAAGUUUUAGCUGCAGGUGGCUUACCCUGAUGGAUACCAUUAGGAACUUCUCCACCGCCAGCCACAUCAUCCUUUGAAGUCGUCCGGAUGACUGUUGUUGUUCAACCUUUGCAAAUGAUGAGAGGAAGACAAGGAGAAUGAUGCAAUAUUGAGCAUUGCCAAUGCAUCUACUUAUUGGACGUGGACUGUCAUAUUCCCAUCGGCAUAUCAAAUAUAUUUCUUUAUAGCAACGCCAUGGAUUUCCUAUCAUGUUUAGCUUCACUCCAAGGCAAGCUACACCCCCACCUCUCUCUCAUGGAAUUUUUACAGAACACUAUCAAUGAGACUGAACC